AUUGAACGCUGGCGGCAUGCCUUACACAUGCAAGUCGAACGGCAGCACGGGAGCUUGCUCCUGGUGGCGAGUGGCGAACGGGUGAGUAAUACAUCGGAACGUACCCUGAAGUGGGGGAUAACGUAGCGAAAGUUACGCUAAUACCGCAUAUUCUGUGAGCAGGAAAGAGGGGGAUCGCAAGACCUCUUGCUUUAGGAGCGGCCGAUGUCGGAUUAGCUAGUUGGUGGGGUAAAGGCCUACCAAGGCGACGAUCCGUAGCGGGUCUGAGGGGGUGAUCGGCCACAUUGGAACUGAGACACGGUCCAAACUCCUACGGGAGGCAGCAGUGGGGAAUAUUGCACAAUGGGCGAAAGCCUGAUGCAGCAACGCCGCGUGAGCGAUGAAGGCCUUCGGGUCGUAAAGCUCUGUCCUCAAGGAAGAUAAUGACGGUACUUGAGGAGGAAGCCCCGGCUAACUACGUGCCAGCAGCCGCGGUAAU
rnacentral:rRNA from 1 species